UACAGAGGGUGCGAGCGUUGUCCGGAAUCACUGGGCGUAAAGGGCGCGUAGGCGGCUUUUCAAGCGUGCGGUGAAAGCUCGGGGCUUAACUCCGAGUCUGCCGUGCGAACUGGGAGGCUUGAGUCUGGUAGAGGGCGAUGGAAUUCCGGGUGUAGCGGUGGAAUGCGUAGAGAUCCGGAAGAACACCGGUGGCGAAGGCGGUCGACUGGGCCAGAACUGACGCUGAGGCGCGACAGCGUGGGGAGCAAACAGG
rnacentral:rRNA from 1 species